rnacentral:rRNA from 1 species
UACGUAGGGUGCGAGCGUUAAUCGGAUUUACUGGGCGUAAAGCGUGCGCAGGCGGCCCGUUAAGACAGGUGUGAAAUCCCUGGGCUCAACCUAGGAAUUGCACUUGUAACUGGCGGGCUCGAGUACGGUAGAGGGGGGUGGAAUUCCUGGUGUAGCAGUGAAAUGCGUAGAGAUCAGGAGGAACACCGAUGGCGAAGGCAGCCCCCUGGGCCUGUACUGACGCUCAUGCACGAAAGCGUGGGGAGCAAACAGG